rnacentral:lncRNA from 1 species
CACUUCUCUCUAAACUACAAAAAGAAGGUUUAUAUUUCAGUAAGCAUUGUUAAUGGGGAAGUCAAAGAACUUGGCUCUCUGGAAACUGAUUCUACUCCAACUGCCCGGAGCACAAAUCUUGCUUUGUUGACAUCAACGCAAGCUCUCCUGAGGACACACAAAGAAGAGAAGAAGCCAUUAGAAUUUCUCGUGACCCUGCUCCGAGACAAAUCCAGCUUCGCUUAAAUGAAUGAAAAUGCUUGUUACAUGGCUCAAGAAGCUACUUUGUCCAUUUGAAAAUUAAUUAGACCGUAGCUAGACGAACAACUAAGUCUCUUCAGAAUGGGCAAAGCAGCUUCAUGAAGUCAUCAAAGACUCAGAUUUGUUGUUCACCAUUCUCAACACAUGGCUCUCACCUCAUGGUACAAGAUGACUGCUUGGGUUCCAGCCAUUACAGUUACACAAAGGAUGAAGGCCCAGCUGAGCCAAGCCUUUGAGUCAUCGCAGCCCAGGCGCCAGACUUGUGAGUGAAGGAGGCUCCAGAUGAUUCUAACCCUCAGCUCCUGAGUCACCGCCAACUGCUGGAGUCUUCCCAGCUGAGGCCGCAGACAUCACGGAGCAGAGAAAACACGAGUCAUCCCAGCUAUGUCCUGUCCAAAUUCCUGGCCUACACAAUCGGUGAGCGCAACAAACUGUCUUUUGUUUUAGGCCAUGAUUUUGGGCUGGUUUGUUAUGCAGCAACAGGUAAGUGGAACAGUUGGGGAACAGAAACAAGAAAAACACCAGAAAAGCAGUGGGCUGGAGCUGCCCUUUGCUCGAUUGGAAGGCCAGCCCAAGAAAAAAAAAUCAGCCUCUAUGGCAUGGUAAGAGCCAAUAUUUAUCAAAUGUUAGUCUGUGACAAUCACAAAUCCUUUGACGUGUAUUAAUC